rnacentral:lncRNA from 1 species
CAUGCAUGCCCACCAUCACCUGCCAGAGUUCCUUACUAAAAAGGCAGAGGUACAUGGAGGAGCUGAAUCUUCUCCCCCCUUCACCAUGUCUGACAAUAUUUUUUUGCUUCAACCUCCUCUCUUCCCAGCAGCCCAACAGAAGGUUUCCUCCCUUCAGGGUAAGAGGGCUGAGAAAUUUCUGGAGGUCCCCAUUUUCCAUGAUUGACUCUGAUGACUUCUCCAUGGGAAAGCAUGCCCCUGCAUCCAGGUACUGAUUUCAAUAGCAUGUAAUUUUAAGAAAUACAUCCUCCCAUAACACAGAUGGAAUUGCUUGUCAGCUCCAGGAGUGGGGAGAGAAGAAGGGAAGGAGAUAAUAUGGAUCAUAU